GAUGAACGCUGGCGGCGUGCUUAACACAUGCAAGUCGAACGAAGUGGCGGAUGGGUGACUAACACGUGAGGAACCUGCCUUUCACAGGGGAAUAACACUGGAAAACCAGUUCUAAUACCGCAUAGUGAAAGAUUGCCUCGCGCCUGAUUAGCUAGUAGGUGAGGUAACGGCUCACCUAGGUGAUGAUCAGUAGCGGUAGUGAAUGUGGAUCGGCCGCAGUGGGACUGAGACACGGCGCAGACUCCUACGGGAGGAAGCAGUGGGGAAUAUUGGGCAAUGGCGCAAGCCUGACCCAGCGACGCCGAGUGAAGGAAGACGGUCUUCGGAUUGUAAACUUCUUUAGACAGGGACGCGGUACCUGUAGAAUAAGCCACGGCUAACUACGUGCCAGCAGCCGCGGUAAUUC
rnacentral:rRNA from 1 species